GACGAACGCUGGCGGCGUGCUUAACACAUGCAAGUCGAACGGUGAUGCUCCAGCUUGCUGGAGUGGAUCAGUGGCGAACGGGUGAGUAACACGUGAGCAACCCGCCCCAGACUCUGGAAUAAGCGCUGGAAACGGCGUCUAAUACUGGAUACGAAACUGGCCCGCAUGGGCAUGGUUUGGAAAGUUUUUCGGUUUGGGAUGGGCUCGCGGCCUAUCCGCUUGUUGGUGAGGUAAUGGCUCACCAAGGCGACGACGGGUAGCCGGCCUGAGAGGCCGACCGGGCACACGGGGACUGAGAGACGGCCCAGACUCCUACGGGAGGCAACAGUGGGGAAUAUUGCAGAGUGGGCGAAAGCCUGAUGCAGCGACGCCGCGUGAGGGAUGACGGCCUUCGGGUUGUGAACAUCUUUCAGCAGGGAAGAAGCGAAAGUGACGGUACCUGCAGAGAAAGCACCGGCUAACUACGUG
rnacentral:rRNA from 1 species